rnacentral:lncRNA from 1 species
UCUUCUCUUUCUCUCUCAUACCUCUUCUUCAACCUUCAAAACUCUGCAAUGGAAGGUGAUUUGGGCCUUCUGAGACCCUCCGGCGACGGUGGCAGCGGAGCUUCCUACGGUGGUUCUGCAAGUGGGUCCAUUUCAAUCGGAUCGGGUUUUUCGAUUUACACCAUCACAAAAACGUUAUCAGUCCGCUACCCAACACAAAAACAUAUUUACCACCCGUUAGCCAACCAAACAGGCGGAUCCGCUAGUAAACCGUCCAAUCAGAUCGGAUCAAGCAGUUUGAAUGGAUUGAUCGAAUUUUUGCUCACCCCUAUGUUUAUAAAAUUAUUUACACCUUGUGAGUAGGUCGGGUCUUGUUUUAUAAGAUUUCAGCUUCAAUGGACAUGCACUAGAUUAAUCAGAAUAUUCUCAAGCUUGGUCGUAAUAGUAAUACUUUACGGGAGUUGGUCUUUUUUUGGGUUUUGGUAUACUGAUGGCACUAAGCUGAUAACUGGUGGAAGUUUAGAAGUUGAUAUAAAUUUCAAUAUCUA